GACAGAGGGUGCAAACGUUGUUCGGAAUUACUGGGCGUAAAGCGCGUGUAGGCUGCUUCGCAAGUCGGAUGUGAAAGCCCUGGGCUCAACCCAGGAAGUGCAUUCGAAACUGCAGAGCUGGAGUCCUGGAGAGGAAGGCGGAAUUCUCGGUGUAGAGGUGAAAUUCGUAGAUAUCGAGAGGAACACCUGUGGCGAAGGCGGGUCUCUGGACAGUUCCUGACGCUGAGGCACGAAAGCCAGGGGAGCAAACGGG
rnacentral:rRNA from 1 species